GACGAACGCUGGCGGCGUGCUUAACACAUGCAAGUCGAACGGGAGUAUCGAAGAAGCUUGCUUUAGAGAUACUUUAGUGGCGGACGGGUGAGUAACGCGUGAGGAGCUGUCCGAUGCAGGGGGACAACAGUUGGAAACGACUGCUAAUACCCCAUAAGCCGAGAGGUAAAAGGAUUUAUCCGGCAAUGGAGGUACUCGCGUCCUAUCAGCUAGUAGGUGAGGUAACGGCUCACCUAGGCGAAGACGGGUAGCCGGCCUGAGAGGGCGAACGGCCACACUGGAACUGAGAUACGGUCCAGACUCCUACGGGAGGCAGCAGUGGGGAAUAUUGGGCAAUGGGGGGAACCCUGACCCAGCGACGCCGCGUGGGUGAAGAAAUCCUUCGGGAUGUAAAGCCCUGUUGUAUGGGAAGAGCGGAAGACGGUACCAUACGAGGAAGCCCCGGCAAACUACGUGCCAGCAGCCGCCGCAG
rnacentral:rRNA from 1 species